UCUCUUUUACUUUCCACAAACUUUUAUGCUUAGAGCUUUAACAUUAUAUGUAAUUCAUAUCUGAUUAUUUUAAGAAUUCCAUUAACUUCAAACACACAACAUGGUCAAAAUAUAAGGUAUUUUGAUAAGAAUCUACCCAAGAGUGGGUAGAUUCUAUGAGAAAUACCUAAUUUGAGGCAACUAGCCUCCAAGAAUGAGAAAUAAGAUUUAGAGAGAAUAGAGAAGAUUAGGAGAGAAACUGUUGCUUAUUUCAUUUAAUGGUCCUUACAAUCCCCACUCUAGCAAACCACUUAUAUCCAGUUUUCUUGAGUAUUCAAAGCUAUUCCAAGUAAAGCCACAUAUGUUGCAUUCUAACAACCUUUCUAACUAACUAACUGACAGCAACUAACAGAUGUUAACAGCUUCAAUGGUAAAAAACUAACAAUUCCCUAACUCUAAUGUAGCGGCUUAGGACAGGUGUAUGUUAGGCAACAUCAACAACAACAACUAUGGCAGCAAGUCAACUUCAGUAGCAACAUCAUAAGUGUCGCUUGAUGACUCUUAACAUAUUCUAUAUUGAUUUAUGAUGGCUGAACCAAUGAUCAUGGUUGGUGGCAAUAAUGCUCAACUUAAGUUGCUGCAUAACUGAUGUUGGUGCUGCUGCUGGAGGCUUAAGUAACUGCAUAAUUGCUGGUGUUGUUGUUGGAGGCAUGAUGGAUGCUUUGAUUGAUUUGAAUGAGAACCUUGAAGCCAAAUACAUCUUGGGCUAGGAAAUAGUAAAGGAGUUUCUGUUUUGGUUCACCAUGUGGAGAGAGACACCAAAGAUGCUUGGGAGGCCUAUAGAAACAUGUGUUUGACAUGCUACCUCCUAUGCUUUUCGGUGGUUUUACUUAUAAUUUUUCUUUUGAUAUGCAAACUAACUCCAAUUCAUAGGAAUUGCUUAAAAUCGUUAUUACCUUUUUGUUCUCUAGGUUGCCGGAUAACUCUUUGUUUUGGCUUUAUUUGAAGGGGAAAAAAAAAGUUAAAAUAUUUAUCUUUGAGAGUUUUCCUUUGAAUUAUUUUCUCAAUUGAUGAUAAAGAUUGGUGGGGAGAUAUUUCUAAGAAAGGGGCUCUGCCUUGGCAAAUAACAGCUGUGAUGGAAGACAUCUGAGACUUGCUGGCUUAGUGUAGACAUUUAUAUUUUGUACAUAGAAAUUUGUUGGCAAAAGAAAAGUCUUGGAUACAUUUUUUUGGGACAAUAACGGUAGUGCAUAGUAGUUUUUCUAUCUUCAAGAUUUAUAGAAAGCUUACAGAAAUGUUCAAAGGGCUUAAAAAGGUUUGUAAUAUUGUAUGCAAUAUACUUGGAUCAAUGAUGAUUUAAAUGUAAAUCUUCUUUUGAAAAUGGAUUUUUUUAUUUUGUGUUUUAAU